CCCUUAGAUGUUCUGGGCCGCACGCGCGCUACACUGAUGCAUUCAACGAGUUUCUUCCUGGUCCGAGAGGAAUGGGUAACCUUUUGAAAGUGCAUCGUGAUAGGGAUAGACUAUUGCAAUUAUUGGUCUUCAACGAGGAAUUCCUAGUAGACGUAGUUCAUCAGACUGCAUCGAUUACGUCCCUGCCCUUUGUACACACCGCCCGUCGCUCCUACCGAUUGAACGCUCAGGUGAGCCAUUCGGACUUUCAUCAUGCUGGUUUCCAGUUUUGAUGAAGGAAAGUCUUGCGAACCUUAUCAUUUAGAGGAAGGAGAAGUCGUAACA
rnacentral:rRNA from 1 species